UGAAAUGGUACAACAACCGGGUGAGGUGG
rnacentral:piRNA from 1 species